rnacentral:rRNA from 1 species
UACGUAGGGUGCAAGCGUUAAUCGGAAUUACUGGGCGUAAAGCGUGCGCAGGCGGUCUUGCAAGACAGAUGUGAAAUCCCCGGGCUCAACCUGGGAACUGCAUUUGUGACUGCAAGGCUGGAGUGCGGCAGAGGGGGAUGGAAUUCCGCGUGUAGCAGUGAAAUGCGUAGAGAUGCGGAGGAACACCGAUGGCGAAGGCAGCCCCCUGGGCUAGCACUGACGCUCAGGCACGAAAGCGUGGGGAGCAAACAGG